AUUCAACGCCGGCGGUAGGCUUAACACAUCCAAGACGAACCAGGGGCUGACGGGCGCGUAAUGCUUGGGAAUCUCGCUUAUUGAGGGGGAUAACUACGGGAAACCGUUGCUAAUACUGCGUCCCCUGGGAGGAGCCCACGGGGGAUUAGGUAGUUGGUGGGGUACAGGCUCACUAAGCCGACGAUCUCUAGCCGGUCUGAGAGGAUGACCAGCCACACUGGGAGUGAGACGCGGCCCAGACUCCGCCGGGAGGCAGCAGUGGGGGAGAUUGCGCAAUGGGGGCAGCUUGACGGCGCCAUGCCGCGUGAAUGAAGAAGGCCUUCGGGUUGUAAAGUUCUUUCGGUAGCGAGGCGUUAACUACCGAAGAAGCGCCGGCUAACUCCGUGCCAGCAGCCGCGGUAAUUC
rnacentral:rRNA from 1 species